CCCAUUUGCAAGAAACCACCCAUGAAUCAACAACAACAAGAAGAAGAAGGAGGACAACAACAACCCCCGUGCCAUGCCAUGUCAUGC
rnacentral:ribozyme from 1 species